rnacentral:lncRNA from 1 species
CAGUAUAUUUUUGACCAUUAGCUACAAUUACAGUGUUCCCUCACUACUUCGCAAUUCACUUUUCGUGGAUUCGUGGUUUUUCAAUAAACGCUAAAAGACUAUUAUAAAUCAUAAAAAAUUACAAUUUACAGAGAAAAGGAGCCCAAGUGGCAACGGGAGGAGAAGGAGGCAAUUUAUCAACACAUGAUUGGUUGAUAAAGACUUAAAAUAGUGUAUAACUACUAAAAUAAUGUAUAAAUAUUAAAAUAAAUAUAGUGUCCCUACUUCGUGGAUUUUCACUUAUUAUGGGUGGUCCUAGAACCUAACCCCCGCGAUAAGUGAGGGAACACUGUACUAUUUUUCCCCCCUUUUCUGGUAAAUAAUGGCCCAGGGAUUGACACCGGUGGAAUGGUUUCUUGUUUUCUUUUCCGGCGGCAUAUACUGCAAAGGCAGAAAGUGUUAACAUACAGUGAGCCGGUCCAAGGCUUUCCGUAAAACUAAUUUAUUUUUUAAAACAAUCCUCUUGAACGUACCACGCAGGCCAGCCCUGUUACAAUAUUGACAUAAGUGAAUAGGUAUCCCUGCUGUUAAAUGGAUCCGUUUCAACAACUGUCUCGUUUUGUGUAAACGCAGGUGCUGUGAAUCUUCCCUUUGAUCUUCCCUUUGACUAAUCGUGUGAAAUGAAUCUUAACGCUUGAGUUAAUUGGGAUGAAUCAAGAAAGAAAGGGGAGGUGGAGGAAAAAAGUCACAUCGCGACCAGAAGGAAAGUCUUAAUGAAGCUCAUUAAAAGAAUUUAAUAAAUGAAUACACUUAUUUAAUCAAGACUUAGAGAAUGGCUUUCCCCUUCUUCCUCCUCCUGGACACCUUGGAAAUUAAUUUCACCAUCUUCACAAGGGACGUUUUCCUCCCACCUUCUCGGAUCCAUGCCAUCCCUUUGAAAGGAAACAGCCCUGAGAUGUCUCUUCGGUGUGAAAUUCUCAUUGCUGAAGAAUUUCAGCACAGGAUUAUAGAGAAUCUUAUAAGUUCCAAUUACUGUGCAUUUAGAGUAUAAUAUCACAAUGCCAAAACAAUUUCAGCGACAUGGUGGGCAGCGCGGAAUCCAUUGAAUUAUCAUUUGGAAGACAUUACUGCCCAAAUUAGCAAAUGCCAAAAUGAUUUUAAUGUUCAUUUAUGAUCUCCUC